AUUGAACGCUGGCGGCAUGCCUUACACAUGCAAGUCGAACGGUAACAGAUCUUCGGAUGCUGACGAGUGGCGAACGGGUGAGUAAUACAUCGGAACGUGCCUAGUAGUGGGGGAUAACUACUCGAAAGAGUGGCUAAUACCGCAUGAGAUAUAAGGAUGACAGCAGGGGAUCGCAAGACCUUGUGCUACUAGAGCGGCCGAUGGCAGAUUAGGUAGUUGGUGGGAUAAAAGCUUACCAAGCCGACGAUCUGUAGCUGGUCUGAGAGGACGAUCAGCCACACUGGGACGGGGACACGGCCCAGACUCCUACGGGAGGCAGCAGUGGGGAAUUUUGGACAAUGGGCGCAAGCCAGAUCCAGCAAUGCCGCGUGCAGGAUGAAGGCCUUCGGGUUGUAAACUGCUUUUGUACGGAACGAAAAGCCCUGGGUUAAUACCCUGGGGUCAUGACGGUACCGUAAGAAUAAGCACCGGCUAACUACGUGCCAGCCGCCGCAGUAAAAC
rnacentral:rRNA from 1 species